rnacentral:rRNA from 1 species
GAUGAACGCUGGCGGCGUGCCUAAUACAUGCAAGUCGAGCGAACGGACGAGAAGCUUGCUUCUCUGAUGUUAGCGGCGGACGGGUGAGUAACACGUGGAUAACCUACCUAUAAGACUGGGAUAACUUCGGGAAACCGGAGCUAAUACCGGAUCAUAUUUUGAACCGCAUGGUUCAAAAGUGAAAGACGGUCUUGCUGUCACUUAUAGAUGGAUCCGCGCUGCAUUAGCUAGUUGGUAAGGUAACGGCUUACCAAGGCAACGAUGCGUAGCCGACCUGAGAGGAUGAUCGGCCACACUGGAACUGAGACACGGUCCAGACUCCUACGGGAGGCAGCAGUGGGGAAUAUUCCGCAAUGGGCGAAAGCCUGACGGAGCAACGCCGCGUGAGUGAUGAAGGUCUUCGGAUCGUAAAACUCUGUUAUUAGGGAAGAACAUAUGUGUAAGUAACUGUGCACAUCUUGACGGUACCUAAUCAGAAAGCCACGGCUAACUACGUG